rnacentral:rRNA from 1 species
UACGAGUGCCCCAAGCGUUAUCCGGAAUCAUUGGGCGUAAAGGGUGUGUAGGCGGUUGUGUUAGUCUUUUGUUAAAUUCUUCGGCUUAACCGGGGGCAUGCAAAGGAAACGGCACAACUAGAGGAUGCGAGAGGUGAAUGGAAUUCAUGGAGUAGGGGUGAAAUCCGUUGAUAUCAUGGGGAACACCAAAAGCGAAGGCAAUUCACUGGCGCACUCCUGACGCUGAGACACGAAAGCGUAGGUAGCGAAUGGG